rnacentral:snoRNA from 1 species
ACCCCGUAGAUUCCCGACCUAUCAAAUCUAAACAUUGGUCUGAGUGGCUAUAAAUGGAGGAAAAGUAAAACUGAAACGCACUUGGGAUUAUUUUGGUUCUGUGUUUGUCUAAAAUAGGC